GAUGAACGCUGGCGGCGUGCCUAAUACAUGCAAGUCGAGCGAAAAGAUAAUAAGCUUUUGCCUUUGCGGUUAGCGGGUGACGGGCGAGUAAGGCGUGCAUAACCUUCUUAUAAUACGGGGAGGACAACGUGAAACCGGUGACAAUGCCACAGAACACUUACAACCGCAGAGUGCAAAAGUGCAUGAGGCUUUGGGCGUCACAUAUAGAUGGACCCGUGUCGGAUUAGCUAGUUGGUAAGGUAACGGCCUACCAAGGAGACGAUCCGUAGCCGACCUGAGAGGGUGAUCGGCCACACUGGAACUGAGACACGGUCCAGACUCCUACGGGAGGCAGCAGUAGGGAAUAUUCCGCAAUGGGCGCAAGCCUGACGGAGCAACACCGCGUGAGUGAUGAAGGUCUUCGGGUCGUAAAGCCCUGUUAUUAGGAAAGAACAACUGCGUAAGUAACUGUGCACGUCCUGACGGUACCUAAUCAGAAAGCCCCGGCUAACUACGUG
rnacentral:rRNA from 1 species